CAAUAGCGUAUAUUAAAGUUGUUGCGGUUAAAAAGCUCGUAGUCGGAUUUCUGCUGAGAACGACCGGUCCGCCCUCUGGGUGUGUAUCUGGCUCUUUCUUGGCAUCUUCUUGGUGAACGUUGCUGCACUUGACUGUGUGGAGCGCUACCCAGGACUUUUACUUUGAGGAAAUUAGAGUGUUUCAAGCAGGCAUACGCCUUGAAUACAUUAGCAUGGAAUAAUAAGAUAGGACCUCGGUUCUAUUUUGUUGGUUUCUAGAGCUGAGGUAAUGAUUAAUAGGGAUAGUUGGGGGCAUUCGUAUUUAACUGUCAGAGGUGAGAUUCUUGGAUUUGUUAAAGACGGACUACUGCGAAANCANNNGCCAAGGAUGUUUUCAUNGA
rnacentral:rRNA from 1 species